UUUCAGUAUGGCAGAAUAGUGCAAUGAGCUUAAGAUUCAUAUAUAAAUAUUAAUUAUUUUAUUGAAAA
rnacentral:tRNA from 1 species